GGUCUUUAGAAUAGGAUGGAUUAUGGAGUGCAAGUGUGCGUAUUAACCACACAUUUGCAGUAGAUAUGAAAAUUACACUUGUAAUACAAGCAUUGUAGCAUUGUUCUUGUGGAUGAUUAUGAGACACAUAGCACUGCUCUUGAUAUAAAUGCUUGUACUAUGAAUUGAUUGACCCACAAAAACUACACGUCGUAUUUAAAACACACCAACCUGGUGGUUUUGUAAAAACAGCUACAGUAUUGAUUUAACAAUUGAAAACAAGGUGCAAGUCCAUAUGGCCAAUGAUCUGAUAAUGAACUCCUGGCUCUGUGUGAGUAGAGGAUGCUGUGUGUGAUAAACUUAAAACGUUGACAGUUAACCCUGCACAUUGUAACAGGAAGAACACAGAGGAUGCCAGCCUGCUGCCAACUCUGUCCACUCCAGUUUAAGUCUCACACCAGUGCAAAACAAAAAUCAUGACGCUGCUCAGGUGUGGGACCAUAACUGUGGGAGACCCUAUCUGCAGAAUCCUCUGCGAUGGCAGCCUCCAGAAAGCACAAAAGAAGACCAAGCUGUAGAUUCAGUCAUUUUCCGUUGCAAGGUCUAUUUGAACAGAAAGAGGAAAGAAUUUGUUGCACACCACGGUCAUCUACUGAGACAAGGUAA